rnacentral:rRNA from 1 species
AGUGAACGCUGGCGGUAGGCCUAACACAUGCAAGUCGAACGGCAGCACAGUAAGAGCUUGCUCUUACGGGUGGCGAGUGGCGGACGGGUGAAGAAUACAUCGGAAUCUACUUUUUCGUGGGGGAUAACGUAGGGAAACUUACGCUAAUACCGCAUACGACCUACGGGUGAAAGCAGGGGAUCUUCGGACCUUGCGCGAUUGAAUGAGCCGAUGUCGGAUUAGCUAGUUGGCGGGGUAAAGGCCCACCAAGGCGACGAUCCGUAGCUGGUCUGAGAGGAUGAUCAGCCACACUGGAACUGAGACACGGUCCAGACUCCUACGGGAGGCAGCAGUGGGGAAUAUUGGACAAUGGGCGCAAGCCUGAUCCAGCCAUACCGCGUGAGUGAAGAAGGCCUUCGGGUUGUAAAGCCCUUUUGUUGGGAAAGAAAAGCAGCAGGUUAAUACCCCGCUGUUCUGACGGUACCCAAAGAAUAAGCACCGGCUAACUUCGUG